CGCGCAACCUCUGCAAUAGGCGAAAGCUUGACAGGGUUACUCUGAGUGAUUCCCGCUAAGGGGAUCUUUUGGCAUCUCUAAAAAUGGUGCAGAAUAAGGGGUGGGCAAGUCUGGUGUCAGCCGCCGCGGUAAUACCAGCACCCCGAGUGGUCGGGACGAUUAUUGGGCCUAAAGCAUCCGUAGCCGGUCUUGCAAGUCCUCCGUUAAAUCCAGCUGCUUAACAGAUGGGCUGCGGAGGAUACUACAAGGCUAGGAGGCGGGAGAGGCAAGCGGUACUCAGUGGGUAGGGGUAAAAUCCUCUGAUCCAUUGAAGACCACCAGUGGCGAAGGCGGCUUGCCAGAACGCGCUCGACGGUGAGGGAUGAAAGCUGGGGGAGCAAACCGGAUUAGAUACCCGGGUAGUCCCAGCUGUAAACGAUGCAGACUCGGUGAUGGGCCGGCUUUAUGCCAGCUCAGUGCCGCAGGGAAGCCGUUAAGUCUGCCGCCUGGGGAGUACGGUCGCAAGACUGAGACUUAA
rnacentral:rRNA from 1 species